AUUGAACGCUGGCGGCAGGCCUAACACAUGCAAGUCGAGCGAGCGGCGGACGGGUGAGUAAUGUCUGGGAAACUGCCUGAUGGAGGGGGAUAACUACUGGAAACGGUAGCUAAUACCGCAUACCAUCAGAUUUGCCCAGAUGGGAUUAGCUCGUAGGUGGGGUAACGGCUCACCUAGGCGACGAUCCCUAGCUGGUCUGAGAGGAUGACCAGCCACACUGGAACUGAGACACGGUCCAGACGCCGACGGGAGGCAGCAGUGGGGAAUAUGGCACAAUGGGCGCAAGCCUGAUGCAGCCAUGCCGCGUGUGUGAAGAAGGCCGUAGGGUUGUAAAGUACUUUCAGCUGGGAGGCGUUACCGGCAGAAGAAGCACCGGCUAACUCCGUGCCAGCAGCCGCGGUAAUUC
rnacentral:rRNA from 1 species